rnacentral:misc_RNA from 1 species
AAUGCAAUGUGUUUGUGGAAUUUAUGAGGAUAUUGUUCAUUGGCUGCAAUUUAUCUAACAAAACCCCAAUAUAAAGGGUUCCUCCAAAAUUCCACAAACACAUUGCAUUUCCUAGUACCACACAUUCUUAGAACAUAAUUACAAUAACCAAAUGUGGUGUCCAAUGGCGUUAGGGUGGCCUAACGAACAUAAGAACCCUCUCUUGUUUGCAUGGAAUACAAAUUUCUAUGACUUAAAAUAACACACUACACCCUGACACAAUCUCAGCUUGAGUUGCUAGAAUUUCACUCUGAGACUCGGGUACUGCUGCGUUCUAUUCAUUGCUACACUGUUGCAUGCCUGGACCAAUUACAUUUCACUUGCAGCACAUGGGCUUUCCUUGAACUUCGGCAUCCUUUCCAUUACUGAUGUGCCCCUGAGAUGACAGCUUUCUACAAUCUAGAGGAAGUAAGUUAAUUGUUGCUUCUUCCUUGAACCUCCUUCUCCAUACAAAUCAUUCCAUUGCUUUAGCUCACUCAUUAUUGAACCCUCAGUUGCGAAACUAGCAGCAACCUGAUUCUUUGCCUGCCUCAUAUCUUCCAUGUUUAAAGGCCUAAGAGUAAUUACUCGCUCCCCUUUAUCUUCUUCCUUUGUACUUGAAGCCUCUUCUGAGCUUGUACCCUCUUCAGCUUUCUGCUUUCUUUCUUUAUCCUUCAAUCUCUCCUGCUGUAUUAACUCUCUAACAGGUCG